CAGAUGGUUUCCUUUUUUGCUUUAUCGAUAAUUAGGGGAUUCUGAGAUUUUUUUUUUUUUUUGAUAGCAAAGGGAUUCCGAUUCUCAUAUUACUCUUCAAACUUAUCUCUGUUUUUUUUGUUCGACUAACCUAAGAGGAGAAAAAGAAGAUGUCAAAUUCAUCUCUAAUUCAUAAUAAGAAGAAGGUAUCUUGUUAACUUGAACUUGAAGUGAUGUCUGUUAGACUUAGACCUCCAAGCAAAAAGUGGAUGCGUGCAGAACGGUGGUCAGCUACAUUUGUGGCAGGAGGUAAAAACUUAAUCAGGUUCAAAAAAGAGACUCUAGGGGAAGAUAGAUUAUCUCUAUGGAUCCGGUCACAAAACUGAGUUAUGUAAACAUUCGAGCAGUUUAUGGAAAGUUGGAAACACAAAAGACACCGAUGAGCCAUUUAUCCAUUCCUCUCAAGCUACCCUAGUUUUUUAUUGCAAGGAUCAGGGAUGAGAGUAGGCCUGAUAAGAAGUGGCAUAUUGUUUUAGAAUCUCCAAAACGACGAGGUCCUAAUGUGAAUGCUUUUGAGGAUUCUUUUGUGUUUACUGGCAUAGCUAAAGAAUCUUCUCUAAGGCAGCGAACUUAAAUGAUAACAGUAAUUCGUAAGAAGAUGCAUUUGUAAGUUUAACUUUUUCUAAUUGAUUAGUUACUUCAUAUUAUCAAGGUGUUGUACUGAUUGUUAGUUAUGAUGUUAAAGGAAGAUUUAGGAGAUGCGGAAGUUCAACACCAGUAAGCGUCCAACAAAAGCUAAUUCAACACUAACCAUGGCUCGAGAUAAAAUUUAUCAGUAUUGGUUAUUGAGUGGGAUUUUUCUUAACAAAAGCUUAUUAUGAUGCAUACUGUGCUUUCUGAAUUUUUUA